CCGUACAAACAGUCGUCAACACAGAGACUUGUUAUUUACAUAUAUAAUCGAACAGUUUUACGUCAAUCGAACAUUACGUCAGCUUUUGCCGCGAAUUCAACGUUUCACUCGCGGGAACAUAAUCGCAAAUGAAAAUCCACACCAAGUGUGCCUGCUAGACGAGUAAUAUUUCAUCAUUCGUCUAAUCAGUUAUUAGAUACUCAGUUCUUUUCCGGAUAUAUAUUUUUUACACGAUCUAUUUCACGCCGAGCGAAAAGAAACAAGAUCACGAGCCGACCUCUCGCGACUUCAUCUUCUUUUCGUUAUACAUCGACACGAUGAUCCCACGCGAUCCCAUCGGCGCGGCGGCUCAGAUAAUAAACUCUAAUGCGGAUAUCAAUCUCCCACAUGGGCCAUUGGAAGCCCACGAAAUAAUAAUUUUGGAAAACGGAAGGAUUUUCCAAGUGAAAAAAAAAAGGAGUAAAAGUAUUUGAUGCUGUUUUUUCAUCAUCUCAUCAGUACCAUUUCACGACUCUACAGACGUGUAAGAUUUCAGGAGAAAAUUGGUGCAAGAUUCAUUUCUCUUUUUAUUUUCAUUGGUGAGAUUAUUCUAUUUUAUUUUCACUCGUACCACUGUUUCACCUGCGUAACCAGCCUACCGCAAGAUUUCCUUUACGCGCACUACGUUACAAAACUCAACUCGAUCCUAUCCGGGGGGGAGGAAGGGAGGGGAGGGGGGAGGAGAAUCUCCCCUCCCAAUUUUUAUAUUAAGGUUACACGCGGAAUGAGAUAUCGAUUUACGCGAUUCACGUUUAUGAUCGAGACGCGGCCAACUCCGGCUGUGCGGAGCAAAACGCGCGUAAGAAGUCCGACUUGAACGCGAGCGGCUUACAUUCUCGAUAGUCGCGAACGGGCGCAACGAUAUAGUCGCAGCCUUAUCGGCGUCCGUGUCUUUGCGGGGGAGCCGCGCGUGGCAAAUUCCGCUCGCGGAUACUUUUUACCCCCGUCACCCUUGACUGGCCCCGCGGCAGAGAUAGGCGUCGUUCUCUUUGUAUUGCAGUCGUAAUCGUAGUAACGCCAGUCACUACCAUCGAUACCGCACGCUUCUACCGUUCGUCAUAAAUAAAUGAACUGCAUUACGCGAAAAUAAUCCAAUUCACGAAAUUAGAAGGAAACGAGAACAUAAUUGUAAACGUAGCUUAGUUUGAAAAAUUUCGCGCUUUAAAACUAAUUUUUUUGAAACCUUUUUAACAAUUUUUUUUCAAUUAUUGAGCGAAGGCGCCUCCUGCUUGAAGACUGUUAACGAUGGCAAAUUGUUGAGGAGGCCUUCGCUGGAAAAAGACAGAAGUUUUUGUCACGUUAUAUUUUUAGUAGUCUACUGCUAAUAUUAUUCACAUUGUAAAGAUAAGUAUGACAGAAAUUAUUCCAAUUUUCAAAAUAUUUAUUUAAUAAUAAAUACAACUAUUUAUGACUAAUACAUAUUUUCUGGAAAUUAGAAGGAUAACAAAAUCUUACACAUG